rnacentral:rRNA from 1 species
CCUACGGGAGGCAGCAGUGAGGAAUAUUGGUCAAUGGACGAGAGUCUGAACCAGCCAAGUAGCGUGAAGGAUGACUGCCCUAUGGGUUGUAAACUUCUUUUAUAUGGGAAUAAAAUGUUCCACGUGUGGGAUUAUGUAUGUACCAUAAGAAUAAGGAUCGGCUAACUCCGUGCCAGCAGCCGCGGUAAUACGGAGGAUCCGAGCGUUAUCCGGAUUUAUUGGGUUUAAAGGGAGCGUAGGUGGAUUGGUAAGUCAGUUGUGAAAGUUUGCGGCUCAACCGUAGAAUUGCAGUUGAAACUGGCAGUCUUGAGUACAGGAGAGGUAGGCGGAAUUCGUGGUGUAGCGGUGAAAUGCUUAGAUAUCACGAAGAACUCCGAUUGCGAAGGCAGUUCACUGGACUGCAACUGACGCUGAGGCACGAAAGUGUGGGUAUCGAACAGGAUUAGAUACCCGGGUAGUC